AUUGAACGCUGGCGGCAUGCCUUACACAUGCAAGUCGAACGGCAGCACGGGAGCAAUCCUGGUGGCGAGUGGCGAACGGGUGAGUAAAGCAUCGGAACGUGCCCAGUCGUGGGGGAUAACGUAAUGAAAGCUACGCUAAUACCGCAUACGAUCUGUGGAUGAAAGCGGGGGACCGUAAGGCCUCGCGCGAUUGGAGCGGCCGAUCGCAGAUUAGGUAGUUGGUGAGGUAGAGGCUCACCAAGCCGACGAUCUGUAGCUGGUCUGAGAGGAUGACGAGCCACACGGGAACUGAGACAUGGACCAGACUCCUACGGGAGGCAGCCGUGGGGAAUUUUGGACAAUGGGCGCAAGCCUGAUCCAGCAGGGCCGCGUGCAGGAUGAAGGACUUCGGGUUGUAAACUGCUUUUGUACGGAGCGAAAAGGCUUCCACUAAUACUGGGGGCUCAUGACGGUACCGUAAGAAUAAGCACCGGCUAACUACGUGCCAGCAGCCGCAGUAACAC
rnacentral:rRNA from 1 species